rfam:Rhizoctonia solani AG-1 IB, isolate 7/3/14, WGS project CAOJ01000000 data, contig: 24005
GGCGAGGUAGCCAAGCGGUCUAAGGCGCUAGACUAAGGUACUUCACUACGAGUAACUGAAAUCUAGUUCUUCGGAGCGUGGGUUCGAAUCCCACCCUCGUCA